UACGUAGGCAGCGAGCGUUGUUCGGAAUUACUGGGCGUAAAGAGUGUGUAGGCGGUGCUCCCAGUCUGUUGUGAAAUCUCCCGGCUUUAACUGGGAGGGUGCAGCGGAAACUAGAGUGCUAGAGGGUGGGAGAGGUAAGCGGAAUUCCUGGUGUAGCGGUGAAAUGCGUAGAUAUCAGGAGGAACACCUGUGGUGUAGACAGCUUACUGGACCACUUCUGACGCUGAGACACGAAAGCGUGGGGAGCAAACAGG
rnacentral:rRNA from 1 species